rnacentral:rRNA from 1 species
AGCGAACGCUGGCGGCAGGCUUAACACAUGCAAGUCGAGCGGGCAUAGCAAUAUGUCAGCGGCAGACGGGUGAGUAACGCGUGGGAACGUACCUUUUGGUUCGGAACAACUGAGGGAAACUUCAGCUAAUACCGGAUAAGCCCUUACGGGGAAAGAUUUAUCGCCGAAAGAUCGGCCCGCGUCUGAUUAGCUAGUUGGUGAGGUAAUGGCUCACCAAGGCGACGAUCAGUAGCUGGUCUGAGAGGAUGAUCAGCCACAUUGGGACUGAGACACGGCCCAAACUCCUACGGGAGGCAGCAGUGGGGAAUAUUGGACAAUGGGCGCAAGCCUGAUCCAGCCAUGACGCGUGAGUGAUGAAGGCCCUAGGGUUGUAAAGCUCUUUUGUGCGGGAAGAUAAUGACGGUACCGCAAGAAUAAGCCCCGGCUAACUUCGUG